rnacentral:rRNA from 1 species
AGAGUUUGAUCCUGGCUCAGAUUGAACGCUGGCGGCAUGCCUUACACAUGCAAGUCGAACGGCAGCACGGGUGCUUGCACCUGGUGGCGAGUGGCGAACGGGUAAGUAAUAUAUCGGAACGUACCCUAGAGUGGGGGAUAACGUAGCGAAAGUUACGCUAAUACCGCAUACGAUCUACGGAUGAAAGUGGGGGAUCGCAAGACCUCAUGCUCAUGGAGCGGCCGAUAUCUGAUUAGCUAGUUGGUGGGGUAAAAGCCUACCAAGGCGACGAUCAGUAGCUGGUCUGAGAGGACGACCAGCCACACUGGAACUGAGACACGGUCCAGACUCCUACGGGAGGCAGCAGUGGGGAAUUUUGGACAAUGGGGGCAACCCUGAUCCAGCAAUGCCGCGUGAGUGAAGAAGGCCUUCGGGUUGUAAAGCUCUUUUGUCAGGGAAGAAACGGGAUUUUCUAAUACAAAGUCCUAAUGACGGUACCUGAAGAAUAAGCACCGGCUAACUACGUGCCAGCAGCCGCGGUAAUACGUAGGGUGCAAGCGUUAAUCGGAAUUACUGGGCGUAAAGCGUGCGCAGGCGGUUGUGCAAGACAGAUGUGAAAUCCCCGGGCUCAACCUGGGAAUUGCAUUUGUGACUGCACGGCUAGAGUGUGUCAGAGGGGGGUAGAAUUCCACGUGUAGCAGUGAAAUGCGUAGAGAUGUGGAGGAAUACCGAUGGCGAAGGCAGCCCCCUGGGAUAACACUGACGCUCAUGCACGAAAGCGUGGGGAGCAAACAGGAUUAGAUACCCUGGUAGUCCACGCCCUAAACGAUGUCUACUAGUUGUCGGGUCUUAAUUGACUUGGUAACGCAGCUAACGCGUGAAGUAGACCGCCUGGGGAGUACGGUCGCAAGAUUAAAACUCAAAGGAAUUGACGGGGACCCGCACAAGCGGUGGAUGAUGUGGAUUAAUUCGAUGCAACGCGAAAAACCUUACCUACCCUUGACAUGUACGGAACUUACCAGAGAUGGUUUGGUGCUCGAAAGAGAACCGUAACACAGGUGCUGCAUGGCUGUCGUCAGCUCGUGUCGUGAGAUGUUGGGUUAAGUCCCGCAACGAGCGCAACCCUUGUCAUUAGUUGCUACGAAAGGGCACUCUAAUGAGACUGCCGGUGACAAACCGGAGGAAGGUGGGGAUGACGUCAAGUCCUCAUGGCCCUUAUGGGUAGGGCUUCACACGUCAUACAAUGGUACAUACAGAGGGCCGCCAACCCGCGAGGGGGAGCUAAUCCCAGAAAGUGUAUCGUAGUCCGGAUUGUAGUCUGCAACUCGACUACAUGAAGUUGGAAUCGCUAGUAAUCGCGGAUCAGCAUGUCGCGGUGAAUACGUUCCCGGGUCUUGUACACACCGCCCGUCACACCAUGGGAGCGGGUUUCACCAGAAGUAGGUAGCCUAACCGCAAGGAGGGCGCUUACCACGGUGGGAUUCGUGACUGGGGUGAAGUCGUAACAAGGUA